GAUGAACGCUGGCGGCGUGCCUAAUACAUGCAAGUCGAGCGAAUGGAUUAAGAGCUUGCUCUUAUGAAGUUAGCGGCGGACGGGUGAGUAACACGUGGGUAACCUGCCCAUGAGACUGGGAUAACUCCGGGAAACCGGGGCUAAUACCGGAUAACAUUUUGAACCGCAUGGUUCGAAAUUGAAAGGCGGCUUCGGCUGUCACUUAUGGAUGGACCCGCGUCGCAUUAGCUAGUUGGUGAGGUAACGGCUCACCAAGGCAACGAUGCAUAGCCGACCUGAGAGGGUGAUCGGCCACACUGGGACUGAGACACGGCCCAGACUCCUACGGGAGGCAGCAGUAGGGAAUCUUCCGCAAUGGACGAAAGUCUGACGGAGCAACGCCGCGUGAGUGAUGAAGGCUUUCGGGUCGUAAAACUCUGUUGUUAGGGAAGAACAAGUGCUAGUCGAAUAAGCUGGCACCUUGACGGUACCUAACCAGAAAGCCACGGCUAACUACGUGCCAGCCGCCGCGGUAA
rnacentral:rRNA from 1 species